GACGAACGCUGGCGGCGUGCUUAACACAUGCAAGUCGAACGGAAAGGCCCUGCUUUUGUUGGGUGCUCGAGUGGCGAACGGGGGAGUAACACGUGAGUAACCUGCCCUUGACUUUGGGAUAACUUCAGGAAACUGGGGCUAAUACCGGAUAUAAUCUCCUGCUGCAUGGUGGGGGUUGGAAAGUUUCGGCGGUUGUGGAUGGACUGGCGGCUUAUCAGCUUGUUUGUGGGGUAGGGGCUUACCAAGGCUGUGACGGGUAGCCGGCCUGGGAGGGUGACCGGCGUCAUGGGGACUGAGAGACGGAGCAGAAUGGUAUGGGAGGCAGCAGGGGGGAACAUGGCAGAACGGGCGGAAGCCUGAGGUAGCAACGCCGGGUGCGGGAUGAUGGGUUAUGAGUGGUAAACCGAUUUGGCAUGUGACGAAGCGGGAGUGACGGUAACUGGUCAAGAAGCACCGGCUAACUACGUG
rnacentral:rRNA from 1 species